GUUUGUGCCGCGCGCCCGCCAGACCGCCCAGGAGGCGGCGGCUAUUGUUCCCCGCAGGGGCCCGGGGCGCCCUGAAACGGGGUCCACGUCAGCCCGCUCCCGAGCGUGUCCUCAGGUCUAAGGACGGGUGGGGCUUCCUUUGUGUGUUCUCUGGAAGGGGCUGGGAUGGCGUCGUUGCUGCCCCAAGGGGUAACCGAGGGGGAUUGAGGGAAGAUGGUACCAGCUCCCUAGAGCUCAGCUCACCAGACCUACUCUUCCGCUCGACCCUUGCAGAGGAGGUGGGGACGGAUAUGGUAUUUGUAGGGCAGCGCUGUGAACAAUGGAGCCAUCAAAAAGGCCUUCUCCCAGCCUCCUCACCAACCACGGACAUUCCUGGCCCAACAAGACCUCCUGGCCAGGUUUUGAGCCCUGCUUCCCAGAUCUGGGGACCCUUCACCUGCCUCUACUACUGCAAAUGAUUGGAUAUUCGUCUGACUUGGCUCUUCCCUAAUGUGUGGAACUAAUUUUGUUCACUCUGUUUCAUGCUGGACCUGGCCUGAAAAUGGGCCCUUAUAUUGUCUUUGCACUUUCCAACUUGCCAAGUUUCUGAAAGAAGGACCAAAGUAAUGCCAAGAACUCCCAGAUGAAGAGGACCUUCCUUAGACCUAUAACAGAUUCACUACUUGACUUCAGAGGGAAGUUUCAGCUAAUUCUCAGGAAAAGGUCAAAACAGGCCUGUGACUGUCCCUUGAAUACUGAAGGUAUAAACAAGCUUCUGGCUCCUCCAGGUCAAGCAGAGGAACACUUUUAUUAGAAUGAAGGGUUACUUCUUUGUUAUUCAAACACACACCCACACACAUCCUCUGUAGUCUCCCUAAUGAAAAACCUCAACAGAUGGAGAGCCUGAGCUCCCAAGUCCGCAGGCUGAGAAGAUGCACUUCACUCAAGGGCCAGUGGGCUGGUACAGACUAGGGAAGAGAAAAGGGACAAAGGCUGCUAGUAUAGGUAAUCACUAUCUUUUAAUACUCCUAACACAUAGAAAUUCGAAAAAUCUUGUUCAGCAAUGUUAGCAGCCUGUGAGCCUCGGAAACUAAUUUGGCUGAUGUGUCUCUGAUAGGGAGCUUGGGGCUGCACCAAGGGGAAACAUUCUCCUCCUGUAUUCUCUCCUCUCUCUCGUUUGAAAGCCUGUACAAAGAAAUGGUACAAAUGGAUGGUUAACUUAAUGAUUCCAUCAGAGGCAGAUUUUUCUCUGUCAGGUCCCUGGAUAAGGUGGAGGUCUGAAAGCCAGGAGACAGAAUAUGUACUUAAUCGCCCUUUCUGACCUGCUUACCAGUGACCAGGACUACUCUCCAGGCCUUUCUUCUGCCACUUCCCCAUUCUUCCUGGCUAGUUCAGUUGGGUCUCAGCACUUCAACUCCUGGCUGGAUCCUGAGUUUUUCUUGGUUGCAGGGAAAGCUCUCACUGUCUGCAUCUCCUUCCCCACCCCCACCUCCCGUUUUGCAGCUGGCCAUUCUGGCUGCCUCACAGCUAUCCUGCCUUAAUUCAUAUUUGAUUGCCUGGACAGAACCACCUAGAAUGUCCAGACGACUGCCACCCCUCAGCCAUGGGCCUGAGAUCCUGCCCUGACCCCUUUCUUCAGACCCCAGGAGGACCCACAAUCUCCCUGAUCCCCACCUUCCCCAAAGUAGUCUCUAGGAAAAAAGCAGAGCUGGCUAAGGCCUGAGACAGAGCCAUUUCUUCCCCUUGGGCAAACGAGGUAGACCCUCCCAGAGACCAAUGCCGGAGAGGCCCGGAUCCGAGCUCCCUUUAUAUGGCCUCCCCCAUCACGGAUCCCGUGGGAAAACCUGACACACAAUGGCGCGGCUGCUCCGGGCACCCUCAACCCAGCGCCCUGCGGCAAGGCCUGGAGCAGCCUGGUGGUCUUGGUGCGCUCCCUUUGCCCUCCCCGCAACCCUCUGCGAGCACUCGUCCCAGGAGAGAGACCCUGGCUAGGGUGGAGGUUGCCUCCCGCAAAGGGCGCUGUUGCUGGGGCCUCCCCUCCCCCAUUCUCUUGUUUUUCUGCUUCUGAGACUCGGGAGGGAGGCGGCAGGCGCCUCCGCAGCCGAUAGAGCAGCUAUUGUGACCUUCCCUUGCAGAGCGGGAACCCAGCCGAGUGUGUACCGCCGGCGGUGGCGGGGGAGGAGGCGACUGUGUGUGCAAACCUCAGUCGGAGAGGGGGUGGCGCUGGGAAAUAAAGGUUUGCAACCUCAGGCAGUUGGGCCCUUCAGAGGGCGUUUGGUUGUGUUUAGACUCGGUUGCUUUCUAACACUAAUUGCAGGCUCAAAAGGAGCGGAAUUUAUUGCGAAGGCCAAGGCGGCUUGUUUAUAAUUUAUGAAGUUUUAAAUGGCUGUGCCGCGGGCCCCAACUUUCUCCUGGGCUGGCAGCCGCGCGGAAACGCGCCCUCCCCCGGCUCGCCGCCCACCCCCACCCACGCCCCUCAGAUGAGUCUCACGCCAAUGGCAGGAACAGAUCCGAGCUAUUAGAAGUCUCGGGAACCUCCAGAGAUGACAGAAGGUGGCAGAUUUGGUCCAAGCCCUCACCCCACUCGAGAGGAGGGCGUCGGGGAAAGCUGUGGCUGCCUGGAGAGGGAGCCCCUGAUCCCACACUUCCUUGGAGCCUGAGUGUGAGAGGAAGCUAAUGUCAGCCGGGCUAGACACCGUUUAAAGUCUAAUCCAUGAAACCCUAAGCCGCAAAUGACACUUGGGGCUUUGCAGACACCCGCAGACUCAGCAGAUACUCCUGCGGUAACACACUGUGCUGGAAAACGCCUGGAGCCAUGACACAUUACGUAUUUUUAUUAUUAUUUAUGGUAGGAAGAGGAGAUGAGGGAAAAUCGGGCUGAAUCUAAGCAGCCUGACAAUUCAGCUAGUUAAUAUUUAGCCAGUUAAGAAAGGUGGUUGUAAUCCCUGCAAGGCAGUGAGCUCUCCUUUGAUUUCUCUAAUAGCUUAAAAAAUAAUUUCUUACAAGACAAUUAGAAAUUCUGCCUAUGGAUGCAAAUUUCAUAGAAAACAAUGUUAAGCCUUGAAAGUGGGUAAAAUGUGCCUUCGAUUGAAGUCAUUUAUUCUGUUGAUACACUUCUACAACAUAUAUAUUUUAAACCUGCUCAGAUAAAGUGAAAUUUAGCAAAAGGAUAUCCCCUCCCACCCCCAAAUCUAACAUGCCAUUUUAAAAACAGCACAAAGGAACAAGGAAACUAAAUAUUAUUUUGAGCCAUCAUUACUUAGUGAAAUACAAACAUCCAAAUAGAAACGAUUGUUGUUCCACCAGAAGAUUAGAAGUUAAAUUAUUUCCACACAAUAGGAAUUUCACUUCGUGUCAUCGGGGAUGUAGUAGGAGUUGCAUUAUUUGUCAAACCAAAUAGAGAUGCGUGGGCUGACUUUGCUGAAAUACAAAAGAAUUGAACCUUAUCUGAAGGCGUUUUCUAAGUGGCCCCUCCCAUAGAAGCCGGGAAGUUGUCCACCCCUAGCAGAAGCCACAUUAAUAUUUACAAAAUGGUUAUAAAUCCUUGAAGACAUUUUUGCCCAUUUUGUAUAAGAAACAGGAGUAAACAAGGUGUUUAUACUUGUUAUGUUUCAUUAAUGAAAUAUUAUUACUUUACAUCUUGGGGAAUGUUUGUUUUCUUUAGAAAUGAACUAAUGAUCACUACAAAGGAAGAAUUCAUGACAGCAUUUCCUAGAGAAAAAGCUUAGGUACGCGUCUCCAAAUGAUGGUUUCUUUUUCUACACCUUAGCUUUUUCAUAGCUCAAUUCUUCUUACAACUUCUCUUGUGUUUUUUCUUUGAUUGUCAGUUUUCUUUCAAAGUUUAUUUUUUGUUACUUAAUGCAGAAAAGUGAGCUCUGGUCUCCCCAGUGUAAAAGUCGAUUGUGUCUAGAAAGAAGGCAGUAAAAACAGCAAAGCAGGCGCUGCUUUCAAAAAGCCCUGCCCAAAUCAUCCCGCCCAGAACCUUCUUAGGUUUGCAUCCUCAUUUCCCCCUCCCCUAAUUUCAAUAGCUGGAAAGUAAUCAAGUAUCCCGAGAACCAAUUUAUGCACUAGACUCCAAAUAAAUAAAAUAUUUUUUUCAAAGUGUCA